CUGAGCUCCAGCAGCUCCAGCUGACUGUCCAACAGUCCCUCUGGGAGGUCUUGCAACUCAUUCUCAUACAGCCAGAGGACUUGCAGCCGGACCUGCUGAUAGUCUUUGGGAAUUUCAUAUGGAUUUUCACCCAGGAUCUGAUCUUGGCAUUUAUGGUGAUGGAAGGAGAGGAAGAAAAGGAAAAGGAAAUGCUGGUUAUUCUCUCAUAGCAAGCAUAAAGUAACGAAGGGAAGGACAAGGAUCGAAGAGUCAAGAACGAGAAUGAUACAGAGUAUCCAAGAUGGACAUCAGGAGAUACCUACACACUAAGCUACACACUGGACCUCAAGGACUAAGGACUAAUUAAAACUAUGGAAAGGAAAGCACCUGGCAACUGAAACGGGCCUGCAGGGAAGCUUACUGCGCUUGCGUGCUGUGAGUGGAGCAGGGGCCUCCCUGGCCGCCCAGCGCGCUGUUUUGCUUAUUUGCAUUUUACAUAAAUCUUCAAUAAAUUUUAUUACUAUA